AUGCAUGUCUAAGUAUAAGCAAUUAUACAGCGAAACUGCGAAUGGCUCAUUAUAUAAGUUAUCGUUUAUUUGAUAGUACCUUACUACUUGGAUAACCGUGGUAAUUCUAGAGCUAAUACAUGCUAAAAAUCCUGACUUCGGAAGGGAUGUAUUUAUUAGAUUAAAAACCAAUGCCCUCCGGGGCUCACUGGUGAUUCAUGAUAACUCCUCGAAUCGCACGGCCUUGCGCCGGCGAUGGUUCAUUCAAAUUUCUUCCCUAUCAACUUUUGAUGUUUGGGUAUUGGCCAAACAUGGUUGCAACGGGUAACGGAGGGUUAGGGCUCGACCCCGGAGAAGGAGCCUGAGAAACGGCUACUACAUCCAAGGAAGGCAGCAGGCGCGCAAAUUACCCAAUCCCGACACGGGGAGGUAGUGACAAUAA
rnacentral:rRNA from 1 species